rnacentral:rRNA from 1 species
UACGGGGGGGGCAAGCGUUGUUCGGAAUUACUGGGCGUAAAGGGUUCGUAGGUGGCCAACUCAGUCAGACGUGAAAUCCCUCAGCUCAACUGGGGAACUGCGUCUGAUACUAGAUGGCUCGAGUGCAGGAGAGGAACGCGGAAUUCCAGGUGUAGCGGUGAAAUGCGUAGAUAUCAGGAGGAACACCAGUGGCGAAGGCGAGUCCCUGGACAACCUGACACUGAGGCACGAAAGCCAAGGGAGCAAACAGG